AUGGGUCUCUCCCUGCAGAGCAGACUUUGUCAUUGCGAGGGCUCUGGGUGUCCUUGCAGAAUGACUCCUUUUCCCCUUCUCUUUGCCAGAAACAGGAUUUUCCUUGGCUCUUCACCUGAGAAUCUGGGGGUACAACACAUGACAGCAUGGGGCUCCCCUAAGACUGUGGUCCCAGGCAUUUCGCCUCUCCAACUCGCCCACCUGUCACCCAGUGUGGACAUCGCCACCUCUGCGUCCCUGCCAUUUCCGGCUGCAGUGCUUCUCCCCAGGAAAAAUGGCAAGUACACAGAAGAAUUCCAGGAUAAUGGAGAUGCACAGACAGCCGCCACCUGUUUUCCGCAGCGCACACGCCGCCCUGGCGUUUUUGCUGAAGCAAAUGAAUAGAUGUGCUUGCCAUCAGGGCCCCUGCUCCUCCAAAGCUUCAGCGUGCAUCCUUCCAGAACCAGGGGUGUUUUCCGACGUGACCGCCAUGCGUCAUCACGCCGACAAAAUGACCCGUUACCAUGCGAUCCUCAGGCCGAAUUCACAUCCGCCGGCAUGUGAUGGAUCAUUUUCACUCUGUCUCUAGCAGCAGGGGCUCCUGUUUUUACCUGAGAUUUCUCAGAGGUAAAGAAGGUAGGACUUUCCGCAUCAGUCAUCGCCCCGGCAAGAUUUAAUGUGUAUUCAGGAGAAGUCUUUGUGAUGGGGAGACUAACAGGUAGCCCCCGUCACCUCACAGAAAGCGGUCCCCGCGUAGGAAGGGCGUGUAAAUGGAAUCCGAGGAGAGAAUGUGCACGGCCCAGGUCGUGGCUGCAGUGUCGUCUGAGAACUGCUCCCCCGGGCAGUCUGGUUCUGGGGCGUCCCUGUCCUCCAGGAGGGAACACUUGAGGCUCAGCCUUUCUGGUGCCCCCAGCUCUGCCUCCAGCAUCCUCCAGCCCACAGUGACCGCUGCAGCUUAGCUCCAGUUUCUGUGCUUUCGCCCAGAAAUGUGACAUUUGCCUGGUGCCAUCUGGAGCAUCUUGAAUUCUGUAGUUUUGACGUGUCCUGGGUGUCUGGUCUCUGCAAGUAAAUUAUUAGCCCUGAGAAGGCUAGAGGUAGUGUCAUAGGUGCUUUUUAUGGCUCAGAAAACUGCCGCCAGGCUUGGAAUAUAUGGUGGUCACAGACUAGUCGUUGCUCCAUACCUAGGAAAACCUUCUUCAUUUUUGCAUGGUAAGUAGAGAAUCCGGAGUAAUGCCAGUUUUAUAAUUUUGAUUAAUUUACCACUUAAAAGAAAAACAGGCUUUUUCAUCAGGAGAUUUAUGGCAUAAGAGGCACCUGGCUUCUCUCGUUGCCAUGUUUCUGGGAAAUACCUGGCCCCUUUACUUCCUUGAAGAAUUUGACCUGGAUCACAAGUCGGAGGCCUUCC
rnacentral:lncRNA from 1 species